CAGAGGGAGAAGGAGGCCCAUGCAGGGAGGCCGAUACGGAACUUGAUCCCGGAACUGCAGGAUCACGACCCAAGCCGAAGGAAGAUGCUCAACCGCUGAGCCACCCAGGAGUCCCAGGAGACUGUUUAAAUUAUGGUACAGCCACAUCAGAACACAGUAAUGCAGCUAUUAAAACAAAGUAAGGUUCCCUGAAUAUGCUGCAUGUGUUUUCAUGUCAGGACACUGAAAUGGGGGAGUCAUGACAGAGACACACAGAGAGAGGCAGAGACACAGUCAGAGGGAGAAACAGGCUCCAGGCAGGAGGCCUGAUGGGGAACUUGAUCCCAGGACUCCAGGAUCACACACUGAGCCAAAGGCAGACACUCUACUACUGAGCCACCCAGCAGCCCAGAAGAUGACAACUGGACUCACCCAGGGCUGUGAUGUCUGCCAGUGAGCUCCAUAAAAGGACCAAGGGGCAAGAAGGUGUGAAGUAUUAACAAGACCAAGUGGAACAAUGGACUAUGGAAUGAAUCCAAGCUGGAUGGAAAACUGUUGCAGAGUGAUCUACUGAACUGUGUAGAGUGUGGAGGGAAAGAGCAGUAGCGGACAAGUUUGCUAUUCACAGUUCAAAUUCACAACCAAUAAACAGUUCCCAAGAAUAUAUGAGAAAUGUAAAAGUUCAUGUUCCUCAAUAGUGCAUGAAUUUACUGACACGUGAACAUAACAUCUGUAGCUAUACAAGCAAUUUAAUUAUCCCAAUUUUUUUAAAAAGAUUUUUUAGGGACACCUGGGUGGCUCAGCAGGUUGAGCCCAUCUGCUUUCUGCUCAGGGCAGGAUCCUGGGGUUCUGGGAUCGAGUCCCCCAUCAUGCUCCCUGCAUGGAGUCUACUUCUCCCUCUGCCUGUGUCUCUGCCUCUCUCUGUGUCUCUCAUGAAUAAAUAAAUUAAAAAAAUAUUUUUAAUUUUUAAGGAAUAGCUACAUCUAACUGGGGCUCAAACCCACAACCCCAAGAUCAAGAGUCACAUGCUCCAUUGGCUUAGCCAGCCAGGAGCCCCUAGUUACCUUGAUUUUUUAAAAAACCAAAUCUGUAGAUUUUAGAAUUACCUCAGGGAGAUAUCACCAAAUUCUCAGAAGAAAAAAGUUAUUAAAUAAUAGUUCAAGGCAAAAGGCAUUACCUCAUGCAGACAGGAGGCACUUAAUAAAUUCUUAAGUACAAUGACUUCAAAGUUUAGGCAAUCAAAAAAUGCAUGCCACACAUUUUUUAAAAAGAAGGGAGGGAAAAUUCUUAACAAAAAUCAAAUAAAUAAUGGGGUGUGAGAGCAGGAUGGAAGAGUGAGGAGAGGCUCAAACUGUUAAGAAGAUCAAAUGAAAAACUGCCUGUGUAAGUGCUUCAAACCCUAUAAAAAUACUGGUGAGAACCGCUGGGACAAGCAUGCUUCUUUUCUAUGGUGGUAUUUAAGAGCUGUAUUCAUCCCAGUAAAUGCCACAUAAAAUAAGAAUUUGUCUUCCAAUCUAAAAUAAGCUGAAAUAAAGUGAGUACUGGGAAGGAU